CCUACGGGAGGCAGCAGUGAGGAAUAUUGGUCAAUGGACGAGAGUCUGAACCAGCCAAGUAGCGUGAAGGAUGACUGCCCUAUGGGUUGUAAACUUCUUUUAUAUGGGAAUAAAACGUUCCACGUGUGGGAUUUUGUAUGUACCAUAUGAAUAAGGAUCGGCUAACUCCGUGCCAGCAGCCGCGGUAAUACGGAGGAUCCGAGCGUUAUCCGGAUUUAUUGGGUUUAAAGGGAGCGUAGGUGGAUUGUUAAGUCAGUUGUGAAAGUUUGCGGCUCAACCAUAAAAUUGCAGUUGAAACUGGCAGUCUUGAGUACAGUAGAGGUGGGCGGAAUUCGUGGUGUAGCGGUGAAAUGCUUAGAUAUCACGAAGAACUCCGAUUGCGAAGGCAGUUCACUGGACUGCAACUGACACUGAGGCUCGAAAGUGUGGGUAUCAAACAGGAUUAGAUACCCGAGUAGUC
rnacentral:rRNA from 1 species